rnacentral:ribozyme from 1 species
UGUCCAGCAACUCCUAUCCCUACCUCCUCGCGGUACUGGCCGGGGUACGAGUAACCUUAGGGAAGAUCGGGUAACUGGUCGUAUGCUGACAGGGAAGG